UACGGGGGGAGCAAGCGUUGUUCGGAUUUACUGGGCGUAAAGGGCGCGUAGGCGGCCAACUAAGUCAGACGUGAAAUCCCCUCGGCUCAACCGGGGAACUGCGUCUGAUACUGGAUGGCUUGAAUUGGGAGAGGGAUGCGGAAUUCCAGGUGUAGGCGGUGAAAUGCGUAGAUAUCUGGAGGAACACCGGGUGGCGAAGGCGGCAUCCUGGACCGAGAUUGACGCUGAUGCGCGAAAGCCAGGGGAGCAAACGGGG
rnacentral:rRNA from 1 species